GCACUGUUGGUUUGGUGAUAGAAUUCUCACCUUCCAUGUGGGAGACCCAGGUUCGAUUUCUGGUCAGUGCA
rnacentral:tRNA from 1 species